UACGUGGGGGGCAAGCGUUGUUCGGAAUUACUGGGCGUAAAGGGCUCGUAGGCGGCCAACUAAGUCGGAUGUGAAAUCCCCAGGCUCAACCUGGGAACUGCAUCCGAUACUGGAUGGCUUGAAUUCGGGAGAGGGAUGCAGAAUUCCAGGUGUAGCGGUGAAAUGCGUAGAUAUCUGGAGGAAUACCGGUGGCGAAGGCGGCAUCCUGGACCGACAUUGACGCUGAGGAGCGAAAGCUAGGGGAGCAAACGGG
rnacentral:rRNA from 1 species